rnacentral:rRNA from 1 species
UACGUAGGGUGCGAGCGUUGUCCGGAAUUAUUGGGCGUAAAGAGCUUGUAGGCGGUUUGUCGCGUCUGCUGUGAAAAUCCGGGGCUCAACCCCGGACUUGCAGUGGGUACGGGCAGACUAGAGUGUGGUAGGGGAGACUGGAAUUCCUGGUGUAGCGGUGAAAUGCGCAGAUAUCAGGAGGAACACCGAUGGCGAAGGCAGGUCUCUGGGCCACUACUGACGCUGAUGCGCGAAAGCUAGGGGAGCGAACGGG